rnacentral:rRNA from 1 species
GACGAACGCUGGCGGUAUGCUUAACACAUGCAAGUCGAACGGACUCUUCGGAGUUAGUGGCGGACGGGUGAGUAACGCGUGAGAAUCUGGCUUUGGGUUCGGGACAACCACUGGAAACGGUGGCUAAUACCGGAUGUGCCGAGAGGUAAAAGAGAAAUUGCCUGAAGAUGAGCUCGCGUCUGAUUAGCUAGUUGGUGAGGUAAAGGCUCACCAAGGCAGCGAUCAGUAGCUGGUCUGAGAGGAUGACCAGCCACACUGGGACUGAGACACGGCCCAGACUCCUACGGGAGGCAGCAGUGGGGAAUUUUCCGCAAUGGGCGAAAGCCUGACGGAGCAAUACCGCGUGAGGGAAGAAGGCUCUUGGGUUGUAAACCUCUUUUCUUAGGGAAGAACAAAAUGACGGUACCUAAGGAAUCAGCAUCGGCUAACUCCGUG